AACGAACGCUGGCGGCAGGCUUAACACAUGCAAGUCGAGCGCCCCGCAAGGGGAGCGGCAGACGGGUGAGUAACGCGUGGGAAUCUAUCCAACCCUACGGAAUAACGCAUGGAAACGUGUGCUAAUACCGUAUACGCCCUACGGGGGAAAGAUUUAUCGGGGAUGGAUGAGCCCGCGUUGGAUUAGCUAGUUGGUGGGGUAAAGGCCUACCAAGGCGACGGUCCAUAGCUGGUCUGAGAGGAUGAUCAGCCACAUUGGGACUGAGACGCGGCCCAAACUCCUACGGGAGGCAGCAGUGGGGAAUAUUGGACAAUGGGCGCAAGCCUGAUCCAGCCAUGCCGCGUGAGUGAUGAAGGCCCUAGGGUUGUAAAGCUCUUUCACCGAUGAAGAUAAUGACGGUAGUCGGAGAAGAAGCCCCGGCUAACUUCGUGCCAGCCGCCGCGGUAAGAC
rnacentral:rRNA from 1 species